ensembl:rRNA 5S_rRNA 5S ribosomal RNA
GCCUACUGCCAUACCACCCUGAAUGCGCCCAAUCUCGUCAAAUCUCAGAAGCUAAGCAGGGUCGGGCCUGGUUAGUACUUGGAUGGGAGAGAUCUGGUAUAAGAGCCA